CCCUUAGAUGUCCUGGGCCGCACGCGUGUUACACUGACGCCUACAGCGAGUACUUCCCAGCCCCGAGAGGCGGCUGGUAAUCAGCAAUAGGCGUCGUGAUGGGGAUAGAACUUUGGAAUUAUUGUUCUUGAACGAGGAAUGCCUAGUAAGCGCACGUCAUUAGCGUGCGCUGAUUAAGUCCCUGCCCUUUGUACACACCGCCCGUCGCACCUACCGAUUGAAUGGUCCGGUGAAAUCUCGGGACGGCGGCUUGGUCGCUUGCGUCCGACUGCUGAAACUUGAUUAAACCAUAUCAUUUAGAGGAAGGUGAAGUCGUANCA
rnacentral:rRNA from 1 species